AAGGUGUGAAAAUUGCACCAUCGGUAAAGAUUGAAAUUCUGAGCAUUUUUGGAUAGGGACCCCAAAAUUUCCGGCCCAGGUGCUCCCCUGACCCCCCUUCAAAGUUUUCGAUGUAGAGUUGGCGAACUUUGGCCAGCACUACAACACCUAUAAUGGACUCAGACAUCAAAAGUGUACUUAUAUCGCAAAGCUGUGGCCCUCAGCUUUCAAAUGAUACCAAACACUCCACCUUUUGAUAAAAAAUGUAAGACCUAUGAUGUGAGAUAUGUGGUCCGACCCUAUUUCAAGCAAAUUUCGAAAUAUUUGGGAGGUAAGUGAAAAAGGCAA